AAAGUUCUUUCUGAUGUUUAGUCGGAAUCUCCUUUCUUGCAACUUGAAGCCAUUGGUUCAGUUUCUGGAGCAGAAGCAAAAAAGCUUCCUCCAUCUUCCAUGUUUCAGCCCUUAAGAUAUUUGAAGAUGGCUAUUAUAUCUCCUCUUGGUCUCCUCUUUUUCCAGGCUAAACAUACCCAGCUCCUUCAAC